GACGAACGCUGGCGGCGUGCUUAACACAUGCAAGUCGAACGGAAAGGCCCUGCUUGCAGGGUACUCGAGUGGCGAACGGGUGAGUAACACGUGGGUGAUCUGCCCUGUACUUCGGGAUAAGCCUGGUAAACUGGGUCUAAUACCGGAUAGGAGCCAUUUUUAGUGUGAUGGUUGGAAAGUUUUUUCGGUGUAGGAUGAGCUCGCGGCCUAUCAGCUUGUUGGUGGGGUAAUGGCCUACCAAGGCGGCGGCGGGUAGCCGGCCUGCGGGGGUGGCCGGCCACAUUGGGACUGAGAGACGGCCCAGGCUCCGACGGGAGGCAGCAGGGGGGAAUAUUGCACAAUGGGCGCAAGGCUGAUGCAGCGACGCCGCGUGGGGGAUGACGGCCUUCGGGUUGUAAAAUCCUUUCGCUAGGGACGAAGCUUUUUGUGACGGUACCUAGAUAAGAAGCACCGGCUAACUACGUG
rnacentral:rRNA from 1 species